rnacentral:rRNA from 1 species
AUGGAUUUCUUUUCAUCUCUAACAUGGAAUCAGCAGGUCUCUGUGCCAUUUGGCGCAACAGAUGGUUUAGUUGAAGGUUCUUGCAACAUGGAACUAUUUUCAUCGACAACAUGUCUUCAGCGGGUCUCUGCGCCAUUUGGCGCAACGGGUCAACUAGUAAUCCUUAAUAAGCACAAACUUCUCCGAUAUAGUGUAGUUCGGAGAAUUCAAAAAGAUAAUAGUGUCGGCAUUCUGGGAACGGGGGUCCCCAGACUUGCCUGUCUGCAGCAUGCGGCGUGGCUCCACCAGUGGCCCAGUGCGGCGCAUCUUCAUGAGCCAACAAUCAAGACCCUCGCGAGGGGCCAAGCCUCGUGGGGAGGACAACACAAGGCCUCCUCAGGGGCGGCCUCACAAGGCAGGCUCGUGAGGAGGCGGAGAGAUCAAGGCAAGGGGUACCUCGCGAGGUUCCCGUGA